GAAAGGCACCUAACUGGGGUCCCUUGGUCAAAUAAUGGGUGGGUCACUUGGGUGCUAGAAUCCACUGCCUCACCACAGAAGGAAGACACUGGGAGUCCUGGC